rnacentral:rRNA from 1 species
UCUCAAAGAUUAAGCCAUGCAUUUUAAGCAUGAGCCGAUUUAUGGUGAAGCCGCGAAUGGCUCAUUACAACAGCCGUUGUUUCUUGGAUCUUGAUUUACUUGGAUAACUGUGGUAAUUCUAGAGCUAAUACAUGCAACCAAGCUCCGACCUCGCGGAAGGAGCGCAUUUAUUAGACCAAGACCAAUCGGGCUCUGCCCGGAAUCUGGUGACUCUGAAUAACUUUGCUGAUCACACGGUCCUAGCACCGGUGACAUAUCUUUCAAGUGUCUGCCCUAUCAACUUUCGAUGGUAGUUUAUGUGCCUACCAUGGUGGUAACGGGUAACGGAGAAUAAGGGUUCGACUCCGGAGAGGGAGCCUGAGAAAUGGCUACCACAUCCAAGGAAGGCAGCAGGCG